GAAAUGAAACAAAAUGGCGUCUGGACUUGUCUCUCACAUCGGUCAAUUAAAAGAAAUCAUAACAAAAACGAAUGUGCCAGCAGACAAAAGCUCUGUUGCAGUGAAAACUGCUUCUGACGUGACACAUCUUAUCAGAUCUGGCACUUGAGUGAGAAAAUGUGCGCAAGAGUCGCUUAUUGUUUUGAAGAAGCGCAGAUUUCCCCACGUAAGCAGUAUUUGGCAGCCAAGGAGCUGUCAUUUUAUCUUGACGCUGAAAUCACCAAGAUCCUGCUUUGAUGUAUGAGCUUCGCACCAUGGUGGCAGUGUGUCUGUUUUAAGCUGACACAUCACGGCAACAGAAAAAGGCAAGGAAAUUGCAAGAAAAAAAAAGCAACUGCAUAGAAAAUGUUGAUUUUUUUUUUUUUUUUUUAAGUCCUGAAAUGUGGAAAGAAAUCAUAAAAUUAGAGAAAACAUGACUCAGAGAGACUCACUAGAUAAAAUGUGUCCUGCACACCAGAAUGCUCAUCCAGGGUUGUUGUUCUUAAAUAUAAUGUGGAAUUACUACACCCAAUAAAAAUGUAUGUGCCAGCUUGUUUGUGAGCCAUUAUCAAUCAUUCUGUCCACUAACCAAAAGCUGUUUCAGUUUAUCAAAUCUGAAAAAAAUACAUAAAACUUUCUAAGUUAUUACUACUUAUGCAGGCUAAGCGUGGCACUGUUAAACAUGUCACUAAAUUGUUAAAUAAAUGUUUAUGUUGGAGAUCGUUUAAAGGAAUCUGGAAAACAAUUCACUGAACAAAAAAUAAAUUUAUUAAUGAUUAUAUAAAUGUAUUCCUGAAAUUCGUUAUUUUUUUUAAAUUGAGCAAAUAUUUAGUUAGUAAAAUUGUAUUUGUCAUAUGUAAAAACACAAAGGUAUUUUAAUAAUUAUUCUCCUUUGUUACAUCACAAACCCUUAUCUGUUAGCCUUGAGCUUCAAAAACACUGGACACCGCUACCAUUGUUAGAGAGAAUGAUUCCUUUGGAUUUGUCUAUUUGAUCUGCAAAGUGAUAAUUUCUGAUUUAUUAUUUAGUGAUAAGCUACAGCACAGAUAUCACACAAACAUAAAAUAAUUAUAUUUAAAUAAUAACUAAGUAAGCUGAUUUAAAUUUGUUAGUUCUUUAAUUCUAUUUUUCAUAAAUGAUUAUUUUAAAAAAUAUUGAUACAGUUUCGAUUGUAUUUAUGUGAUAUAUUGACAUUUUAAAUAGAAUAAUACUGAGCCCUUUAAACAUGUUGCUUCCUGUCUGCCACUUAUUUGUCAUUAUAACUGAUUCACUCACAUACUGUAAAGUAAACCAAAGUCUGUUAAGUAAUUUUGAGGAACUGUGUCAAAGUUUGAGGAACUAAAACAAAAUCAGACCUUUUACAGGUUCUUUAGUAACUCCCAAAAUCUGCACGUACACACAAAUGUGCAUUCACAAUUAAAAUUAUAGGCCACCGUCUUUGUUUUCUUGUCUUCCUGUGAUUGAUUGCUGUCUUUAAUGCUUGUGGUUUUUGUUGUUUUUAGACUGCAUUCAAAGUCUGGCUACAAAGGUGUAAAAACAACCAAAUGCCUCAAGGCAUCCAACAACCUUUCCAAAGUAAACCUUUGCAGAUUACUAGGAGUGUGAAGCGCUUGAUGUUUUAAAUAUCAUUUAAUUCCAAACAUUUUUAAAUCAAUUUUAAAGUGUGCUGCUUUUGACUUGCCAUGCAACUUUUGUGUCUUGCCUGCCACCUUGUGCACAACCGUUUGUCCUGCUGCCUCAGCCAUGCAGCUCUUUAGUCGGGUCUGUCUGGCUGCUUCUCUGUCUCUGUUCUCCCCGUCUGCACAGCUCAACUCCCUCUUUAACAGCCGGUAUUAAUAUUAUUCCUGUCUGUCCUCAUUGUCCCUGUGCAUAAUAAAAGCCUCUCUGAGUGAUGUGCUUCAGGAAAGCCUAACCUCCGACUUUGUCUCUAGAUAAUUAUCCUGUCUCUGACCUGUCUCGUCACAUACCUAAUUGGCGCCUGCCGUACGACUCCACCUACAUUUGGCCCAGGUGUUGCUGUUAUGCAAUGGGAAAGACUCGAAAGUGUUAGGACCUUGCAUGAGGGGACACAAGUGAAACAACGUCGGCCUUGUGGACAAUGGACUUAGAUAUUUGUAUUUACUCUGCAAGUGUACCAUGUCGGAGCUGUGUUCCAGAUUAAAGGUGAACACGCAACGAGGCUGCCCGGUCAUGCCCUGCUACCCUGGUGUCAGAAAGUGAAAAAAAAUAACGCCCCCCCCUCCCCAAAGACAUGAAUAAACAUGUAGAUUUUUGCUCAGACUAGAGUAAAUUAAAAAAAAUAAUCAAUCGAAGAUAAGCAAACCUGCAUGUAUAUUUGUCCGUGUGUGUUAACUAGUGAAUUACAUAAAGACCUUUUUUUUUUGUUUUGUUUUGUUUUACCACAAUCCCUGAUUACAAAGAAAUGCUGCAAGACAUGCACAUUUCUUCACAUCCAACGUCACUCUCUUUGCUUAAAAGAACACAAUGCAACUCUGAGACAACGCAACUGGAAAUAUGCGUUUCUUAAAUUUUCGUUUUAUUCCCAGUCAUGUUCCAGGUCCAGCACAGGCACGAUGAGGCAGACAACAGACGUCAAACCAGUGUAUCGCUUUUCACCGGAGCACAGUUCACAGAGAGCUUCAUAUCAUGAGGGUUGAGCGGAGCAUGACCAAACACCAAAACAGGAAAAUGCAAAAAUGAGGAAGAGAAAAGACGAGGAAGAGGAGGGGGGAGGGAGGAGGGAGGAAGGGGCUUCACAGCUGUUGUUCGGCGGUGUUUCCUCUGAUAGGAGACGUUGGCUGUACUCCCAGUUCUUUAGGUAAACUACCAAAAAAAAACAUGGUUACCUCAAAGUACAAGGGGAGGGGAAACAGGGUGACUGGGGGUCAUGCUAGUUUGUCAACAUAGAAAUUAAAUGAGCUAAGCUCUUGAAAUAAAUAAAAAAAUAAAAAAAAGAAUUUCUGCAUGGAGUUUGGCACAAUCAACUAAAGAAUCUAGGCACUUUUUCUUGUCAGGAGGAAAACGUCUGCAGGUGCAUAAUUUUGUAACAUCCCACCCUAUUAGUUGAUCUUGAUCUAAAGGUGGAAAAAUCUUUUACUUUAUGACAUCUAUGUUGCAUGUGUACCAAGCAGGCAUUGUUGCACAUGCUCAACAUGAUGCUGUAGAAUAAGUUUUGCAGACAUCUGCAAAACACGCUAGCCUCUUAUCCUGGGAUCAAGAUGAUAAGAAGAAUCUAAGUCUUUAAUCUGUCCCACUGGAUGUCUCAAUGUGUCUGUGGAAACAGGUGUCACAGCCUGUUUUAGACUAUCACCGGAGGCCAACGGUUUGCACAAUUACGCCAUUCUAUUCCCAAGACAAUUACGAUCAUGGACAAUGAGUGAAACACGCAUCGAUUCCCAGAAGUGGCCGCCGGGGAAACAAACUGGCGACAAUUACCAAGAUUCUGCAGCGCUGGCAUAUAAGAUUAAAGUGCCUUACAAAAAUAUUCACACUCCCCAGAAUGUGGUGAAUUACCACUGACCACAUCAUUGUAAUUUAUUCCGAUUUUAAGUCUAAGAAAAAAUAUACACUAAACUAAAAAGUUUUUGUCUUCAAAGGUUUUUGUUAAUAAUCUUAGAAGUGCACUUUUGUUCAGCCCCUUUAGUCAAUACAUUACAGAACCACCUGUUGCUGCAUUACAGUUGUAAUUCUUCUGUGGUGUGUUUAUACUAACUUUACACAUAAUUAAAAUUAAAAUUGUAACCUAUUCUUCUUUGUAAAAUAGCAGAGCCCCACUCUGACCUGCUAGGGGGUGAACCGCUGCCAAAAUAUCCUCCAGCAGCCUGCAGGUUUUCUUCCAGUACUGCCCUGUAGUUGGCUGCAUCAAUUUUCCCAUCAACUUUGACUAGCUUCCUUACCCCCUGAAGGAAAAGAAAGAAAACAUCCCAACAGCACACGUGGUUCUGCCACCAGCAGCAUCUUAAAUGCUCACUCCAAGCUGAGUGUCUAAUUUGACCAGCUAUUAGUCUCAAUCUGCUUCAAUAAAAUGUUUCGCAGGAAGAAUACGUCUGUGCAAGAAGGAGAGGAAAAGCUCCCCGAAAUCGAAUUGCAUCCUAAGAGGUGCUCAGGGAAGCUUUCCAGGUGCAAACAACACUCACAGCACAAGAAAGCCUUUGUCUAAACCUGAUAUCUCCUCCUUUGCGAAACAUUUAAAUUUGAAUAGGUGGAAGUAUCUUGCUAAGCUCACAGCUUCACUUUUCUUUUUAUGCUUCCUAACUGGCAGAAAAGCACAGAAAAAAAAUACUCUCUUCCCAUUGAUAUGAGCUACAGUAACUUCCUUUCUCUCUGAACCACCAGAAAGAAAGUCUGAGAACAAAAACAGAAGAAAACCCAAAAAACCCCUGUAAAAAAAAAAAAAAAAAAAAAAAACGUGGUUCAAAUAACAACACUUUCAUUCAAGCUGGCUACUCAAUGGGCAAUAUAAUGAACAAAGCUAUUGAAGGGUUGUUUUGCCAACACAGUCACACAGUUUUUCGGUGUGUUUGUUGUGUAACCUCUGGUGAGAACAGGACAGCCUUGGGAGCACUCUGCCAUUACAGCACAUCUACACAUCAUUCACGGUUGGAGAGUCAGAACAUUAACCACGGGUCGUCCUAAUCCAAGACAAUCCUCAUCACUCAUAGAGUGAUUGCUGAACCGGUGAGAGUUUUUUUUUUUGUUGUUUGUUUGUUUUUGGUUUGCCCACUUUUUCUCUUAACAUCAGUUCAUCAACAAAAAGACUACACCUUGUUGAUAUCAACUUUAGUAUCAGCAUAAAAAAAACAAUCAGAACAUUGAAAGUAAGGGUCAGAACAUUGAAAGUAAGGGUCAGGCCAAUCUUUGAAAUUGAAAACAAAAAGUGUCAACAUUUUGUCACAUUAAAGCCAAAGUGUGGACGGCGCUUGUCUAAAGCACCCCGAGUCAAUAUUCCUUAGCGAUUCCUGCAUGUUUGCUGCCUGAGGCCAGCCGCUGCCUUUGCGCCUUAUAAAACAAUCUGCGAUCAGUCUUAAAUAAUUCAGUCCAGGUUUGUCCCGUGUUUAUAGUGUUUACUUGCUCGUCUCAGUCAGAGGCGACCUUAAUGCUAAAUGGAGAUGACGUUCUGUGAACGUGUAUUCACAGUUUGAACUACUGAUUGUGAAGCUCAGACCAGAGUCUUUAAGAAUCUGUUAAGUUACACUCCGAGUCCUGACGGAGAAACGUCAGUCAUAUACUGUGUCGCGGCCUUCUCGUUUCCAAAAAACAAUAUUCCAACAAAGGCCGUGGGUGUUAACAGGCGGUUUUUGAUUUGAACGCACUUCCGACUUAAUUUGUUUAAAAAAAAAUUAUUCUUUAUUUCUUGUAAAAAAUAACGACAAAAUAAUUACCAAAAAUGUCCUACAACUUAGUCAAAAAACGAAAGUAAACUUAAUAUGACGUUUCAAUCAGCUUUGUGCCAACUCCACUUUGUCCUGCUGCACAUGCCUGUAAGCAAUAGAAAACUUGCUAAGGGUAUAACUGAUAAAGUACUUUUUUCUUUUCUUAUUUGACAACCCUGUUCUGUCCAGUACUGCCCUGGGCAGAGAGCCACCAAGGCCACACCAGUAACCACUAUUGCUUGCUGCCUUCCUACGGCAACAUCCUAGGAAGGCAUGCUGCCACCACCAUGUUUUAGCGUAGAGGUGAUGUUUUUAGAGUUUAUUUGAUGUGACUUCCUAAAUCACUGGUCAGUGAAGGCCACAUUUAUGGAGUGUUUUCCUGUCAACAGAUCCGUCCACCAGAGCUACGCAUCUAUGCAGCUGGUACAGAGAUGAUGUGUGGAAAAAGUCAAAGGCGUAUUACAACGUUUGCAAGGUACUGCAUAUAUGCAGCAGUACUUGCUUUCUUUAUUACUAAAGCCCCUUCUUCAGGAUAUUUUUGCCAUCUUGAGCUUUGUGCAGCACAACAACACACCUGGUAUUCAAAGUGCUUAAAGCGUAACAACAUGUUUUUUCUCUGCACUUUGACUGAACAUUUCAGACUUUUUGCAAACAUUCAACACAAAAAAGCAGAGCUUAGUAAGCUCCUCUUCAGUAUGUGCACUAUUCCCUCCCACGCCACGACCUGGCAUACGAGAGCAGCCUGCAGAAGAAGUAUUGCUCAGAUGAAAGUUAAACAAGCCUAAGGAUGAUGGAUCAGUUUGCACUUAAAGGUCAGAUGAAGCAAGUGUGUGGAACUGACAUGUAAAUAGGCGAUGCAAGGCAAAGAGGGAACGACUCCUGCAGCAGAUGAUUAUUUCCUGCUGGACUCCCGUAAACGUGGGAGAAUUUAGCACUUGUGGAAAAUUACUGAAAAAUCGAAUAUGUACUGCUGGCUACAUGGAACCUUUUUUUUUUUUUUUCUUUUUUUCAUUUGUGUUAUUGCUCCUCUGACAUGUUACAGUUGACUUGUGAUAUACGUCCAGCUGUGAUUGCAAAGUUUCGGUGAAGAAAGGGCGUAGAUGCUGGUCUUCCUGUUUUGCUCAGGCACUCCCACAACAAAAGAUCCUCCCACUGACACAUGAAAACCACUUGACCCCAACUAACUUCAACGAAUACUGAAAGGUUGCAACCUUAACUGUUACGUAAACGACUCUCUCUCCCUCUCUCUCUCUCACUCUCUGACUCUCUUUCCUUCCGAGGCUUCCCGUUAUGUGUCACCUUACAUUCAGGCUGGCAAUAAAUAGGUCUUUGUGUGCAUUGUAGGCCCCUGAAAGACUUGUGUCAGGGAUGUGGGUGGCAACCUAGAUGGAAUCUGGGUACAUAUGAGGAAAGAAAAUAGUAUUAAGUAAGAGAAAAAUAGUCAUCUUUCCCUUCUUCUCAUCAGCCUGGCUGCAUUUGACUGUGUUUUGUUCCAGAAACACCGACAUGCUUUGUGCAGGACUACUGUUUCGCUUAAUCCCAGAUUGUGGACACAACAAAGCGUGCAAACAUAACGAUGAAUCCCUGAGUCAUUCAUUUCCAUGACACCAUACUGGAAAGAAUGCAGAAGGAGGACAUUUAAUGUCGCUGGUGUUAAUUGUCCCUGAUGGUGGUGGGAUGGUACAAAGGGACGGAGAGAGAGAGAGAGAGAGAGUCUUGUCAGAUCCAACCAGUCUAAACCGCUCCUUGGUGGGGAGCAAAGCAGACAGAAGUGAGGUCACGGACAGGAUGCAUCUUGUUAUUUUCGCUCAUUUGACUUGGCUGGUGCCUCCCACUCUCUUUCAGUCUCAUCUCUUUCUCUGUCAAACAGCCAGAAACAAUCACAGGCUAUCUGAAACAUCGCCAAUAUGUUCAGAUUUUCCUUCACAACAUAUUGUUUCCCAGAAAAAAAGAAAAAAAAAACUCCCAGAAAGAGUAAAGCAGAGCCAGACUGAACAGGCCUACCUGUCGACAAAUAUUUUCUCAUCUUCGCGCUGCCCAGACUCCCCUUCAAUUUUUAUUUUAGUUGCUCUCUUUUCUUUCUUUGCCAGUGGCCUUUCCAGGAGUGCAGAAACCCAGUGCAUGUGCAACAAAUCUUGGAAAUUUGGAACUGCUGCCGCAAAACAGGAAACUCUACUCAUCAAACCCAGAGUUUGAUGGUUCAUGGAGAUCUGUGAGCCAGUUUUAACGCAGGACAUGAAUACUCUAACCUUAACUCACAAUGCCAGCUAAAUUGUAUUCAGCGUCUGCCAAGUUCCAGUGUAUUUUAACUGGGAAAUGAGCUUUCUUGAAUAAUAAAAACCAUAAUUUAUUGUCGGCUUUAUGAAACAAACCCAUUGCACCACAGAGCGUGCAGGUUGCCCAACAUGUUCUCCAGUUUCCCAGCUUCACACCUGGGUGAGGUGCUCAGCUUGUUUACCUUUUUUUUUUUCCUCGAUCCAUCAGUUUAAUGAAGCUUUUUCAGUUUAAUGAAGGGUGCUGUUGGAGCCACACGUCACAUGUGAGACGCUUCAACAUAAAUCAUGUUUACCUCCACUUUCAAAACAUCCACUGUGCGUAACUGUUUAUUCCACAAAGAACGCUUGUACCCAUUUAACUUUGUGAUGCAUAAAUCAAUUCAAGAUGGGCUGCUUGCCCAAAAUUAUGUUCCCCCUCUUAUUACCAAACUCAUUACCGUUUUAGGCAUUGCACAACAGGAGGAGCCUUGUUUAGGAAAGUCAGGUCUCCCUAAAUUGCCCCUCCACCCCAAGAACCUAAAGCUGUUUACUAACACAGACAUUUCAUCAGUGCUGGUAAACUGCAGGCGUCCUGUAACUUUAAAAGCAGAACGUUGGUUUGGGGUCUGGUGUGGCAACCUUUGAGUCCUGAUAAAAGAUCCAAGACCUGCUGAAGCUCUGAGAAGUUGUUCUUUUAGCUAAGAAAUGCUAAGAGGUGUGGCGUCUGCAGAGACGCCCCGAUGUUAUAGGAAGCCUCAGGAGGAAUUUAAUUUGGAGGGUGAAUUGAGCCCACCAGUCAGUUCAGCUCUACUGACUUUUGCCCCUUUUAAAUUGUCCAUGGUUAAUUGUGCUUUUUGUAUUAAUGCAAGUGCUUUGGCAGCAUUUUACCGUAUUGUGUUUUACUUGACUAUCAGCAAAACAUGACAUUUUUCUAUGAAUUAGCACUCUUGGAAAGCUUGUCUGAAGUUAUAAGAAGGAUUUUAAGUCCUAAAUCUAAAUACUGAUGGUGACAUGAAUCAUUUUCAGCUCAUCUGGAUGUUAAAUGUUUUUUUUGUUUUUUUUUAUUAGGUUAAUGCAUGACAGAAACUUGUGCUUAUUCUAGAUAAGAAUGAAAACAGGAGCAUAGGACUAUAACUUUCUGAUUUAUUUGUAACCAGCUAUUGUGUACAUGAAGUUGUUUCUUAGCUCAGAUUCAAGCAGCAUAAAUUAUUAGCCUGGUUUCAAGUUAUGACUAUGCGCACGUGAAUUUAAACUUACAAAGGUUUUUCUCAGGAUCUACACUAUCAGUUAAAUUGUGAAUUGGUCUUGUGUGAGUUGAAGUUUUCUUUGUAGUUCCAAGGCCAGCAUGAAGCCCUGAGAAGCUGCAAAGUUUACUUAUAUGCUGGGUCAAUAUUGUCUUAGUAUAUCUUGUUGCUAGUUACAAGGACAUCCUCCAGGUUGAUGUUUGUUCCUCUGAGCCAUUAUUAUCUUUUUGUUAAUGAAGCUGCACACGUUUUUGUGGUCUUUCAUGUAGUUAAUCUAAACAUAGCCACAGUUCUUCUGUAUUUGCUUUGCACCUCUCUCUCUCUCUCUCUCUCUCUCUCUCUCUCUCUCUCUCUCUCUCUCUCCCUCGCUCUCUCCCUUUGUGUCUGUGCACGUGCACACUGAGAGUACAUCGUGUACCCAAACCUGCAUGUGAAUAAAACCCAGGGAGAAUAAGAUAGGCUAAUGAUAGUCCUGGCUCAGACCUGGUCCACAAAAGCACCGUCUGGGUGCAUUGUGUGGAGCUGGCUACUGUGGUUCAACAAAAAAGAAAGUGAUGCAGUGUGAGAUGAAAACACUUGGGAUUAUGAAACAGGCGUCCAGCAGAAAGAAAAACAGAUGGAGCAACAUCAGAAUUCAUUUCAAAUAAAGUCUGAGGAUGCCAGUCUUUUAACAACAAAAAGGUAUAAUUGCCUAAGGAUUUUGAAACACAUUUUUGUUGGAAAAUAUUUCCUAUGUCCUAUGUUUCCUAUGCAUACUUAUGUUAACUAGGUGCACAAAGAGUUUUAGCUUUUCAAGCAACAUACAACUUAUAUACCUGCUGAAGUGUUCAAUGCUUAUCAGUACCCAUUUGUUUCCACUCUUUCUACAUUUCACCUUCUCUUUAAGUUAGCAAAUAGUAGCCAGGAAGGUCACAACAUCACAACUAACACAAAGUCAGAAAACAAGUGGGAUACUCCUGUUGAUGAAAGCAGAACACGGUGAACAUUUCAGAGUCCUGCAUCCACUACGGCUACUAUCGAGACAUCAUGUAGCAACAUGCUUUGUCGUAUUAAAAACUCAAACUUGAAAGCAUUUUAGUCAGGAUUUUGUAUCCAAACAGCACAAAAUAGUUUGUUACAUGGAAAAAUUAUGUAUCAUUUUUAAAAUCUUAGAGGGUUUUAUUCAUUUAUUUAUUUAUGUUGUUUUUUUUUUUUUUUUGUUUUUUUCUCAAACAAUCUGAAAACUAUGCUAAGUAUUUAAUCUGAAACCCCAGCAGAAAAAUUCAGUCCAACAAGAUGCUUAAUUUAUUCUCAGUGAUGGAGACAAAGGAACACACCAGACACGGCUGUCCACCAACACCGGCAGGCUUUGCAAAAAGAACAUGAAGCAGAAUUUCUUGAUUAGUCACCUAUUAGUCAUGCAUUACACAAAGCUGUCCUUGACUAAAGAAAUGGCUUUGUAGACAAAGCCAUUUUUGAAGGAAAAAUGUUACAAGCAUGUAGGACACGGAAAGCAUGUGGAAGUAGGUGCUCUGCUCAGAAGAGGCCAAAAUUAAACAUUUUGGCUCACAUACAAAAUGUUCCAGCAGGAAAAUGACCCUAAACACAUAGCUAUAGACAAGGUGGAAUGGAACACUUGUUAGAUUUUUAAAUCUAAAUCUGGAUUAAAAAAAAAAAAAAAAUCUUUUAUCUUUCUGCUUCACAAUAAUGUGCUACUUUGGUGACGUUUGUGGUUGCAAUGUGGCAAAAUGUGCAAAGACUCAUGUGGUGUGAAUAUUUUUUGCACAAUCUUAGAGGCCAUCCCUUGUGCCUUAUCACUUUCCAAACUAAAUACAGUAAAACAUCUAUAUAAAUAGAGGCAGGAUGACUACACUGACUAUUUGAGUUAGGCUGCAUGCAAAGGAGAGUGUGUUGACAGGCUCUCUUAUUAUCUAAUUAGGCACCAUAGCCAUGGUCCAGAAAGAUAAGACAGGGAGCACCGGUCACAGCUGCUCCACCCCACCACAUCACCACCUCCUCUCUGCACACUUGCAUAAUCCCAGAAACUGCCAACUGGAACUCCGAGAGAUGUGGAGUAGAGCAAAACUCAAGGAGAGAGAAAAGGCAAUGUGGCAAUAAUGAGCGCAGGAUCCAGAAGGAUUUCCUCACAUCAUUUUUUUAAACCACAAAUAUAUAGUUUCAGAGGGUGCACUUGUAAAAUCACCAUGUUCUCUUUAGGUUCUGGACAUUUGUUAUGUUUUACAACAACAUUCUAUCGCAAGCAGUAUGAGGAGAAUGUUCUUGGGGUUUCUUUUACACAAUCAGUCCAGUAACUCAUGAGAAUUUCCAGCAUAAAUUACAAAAAGCUGUUUCAUAACAAUUGAAAUUGCCUGUCAUGUUUUUUUUUCUUCUUACAUCAUCCUGUGGCCAUUUUAUCAAUGGCAGUAUAAAAUAGCAAGUCAAAGAGUCUUAAAUCUUGCUCAAAAUUAGACAAAUACUAUGAAAAACAGAUACAUAUAUUUUAACACACUUAUUUCUUUGUCAUUGUCAAGAAAAGAGGUGAAAAUAUGUGGGGGUGGGGUUAACCAAGCAAUAAUUAUUUUUACACUUUAGGCAAAGGUGGACUAAGAUAUCCUGCACACAUGCAUCUUUCCAUGCCAACAUGCAGCACACAAAUUCUUAUUUCAAGUAAAAACUAGUAUUUUGUGAAGUAGGGGAAGUUUUGUGAACCUUUAUAGCAUUAGCCGUGUGCAGAAAACAUACUUUUGGGAGCCCCAGGGGAAUCCUGCUCCUCAGAUAACAAAGCAAAAAUACCAGCGAGUCAGACUGAGUGCUCAGAAACAAUGUCGCAUUUUUGACAUACUCGUAGCCUAAUUUCCUUUGUCCUGCAAUCUGAUAUCUUGUUCUCCUUAAUGCCUCCCUUUAUGUUUGGGCUUGGUUAGUUGUGUCUGCUCAGGCCAGGGGAGCUGACCAGAUCAUUUUGGAACGAGCUCAUGAUCAGCUCCUUGUCAUAAUUCUUAAUUGCUUCUCUGCACAAUCUGAUCUUGAGGAUGUGACUUCAAUGACUAACGUGUGUCACUCGUAGAUUUCUAAUCCUCCUCUGGUACAUACAGUAUCUACACUCGGGACAAAAGAGCUUAGAUGGAUUCUGUUGUUGUGCUGUGCUAAUAAUGCUUUGGGUCACCUCUGUAUGACGGAGUAUUCAGGAGUGUUCCUGUGCCUUUUAAAAUGCCUCAUGCAGAAAAUCUGCCAUAUUAAUUUGGUUUGUGUAUUCUCUGUGCUGUUUCAUGCAGAGAGGAUACACAAACAGAUUUUUAUUUCAUUAAAAAGAAGCAUUUUUUUUUUCAUCUAAUGAACCUUGUCCAAGUCUUGUCUUUCAUUUGAAAAUGCAUACUUAUGUUUUUGCAUUCCACAAAUUUAACCUAUAUGUUUUUUUUCACAGUGCUUAUAUUGUAUUCUCAUGACAGUCUAACGUAGAGCUUGGAGAUUCAUCAUGCAUUUUUUGCUCAAACUUAUUUUGGUUUGAUUAGGGGUCCUAAUCUGUCAAGAGUCAGCUGGUGCAAAUGGGGAUCUGAGCCAAAAUGAACUGGAAUAAAUUCAAACAUUUGAGAUAAUAUACGAUUCUGUUAAAACAUAGGUGAAAAGUUAUUGCCAUAACUCAUUUAAGAAAAUCUUAUAUAGAAUUCUGCAAUUUUUGUGGUGUUUCCAUGCACCUAUUGACUGAAUAACCUGCACUCCUUAGGUGACAAUAAUGUAGUGAGUCUGCAAUUACACCAUACUAUUAUAAUGUCUGUGCAGACGAAAAAUGCGUUUAGUGAUAUUGAGACAAAUAAUCUAAACAAAGUUCAUGGAGAAAAGGAAUAGCUCUCUGUGAUAUAUGUAAUAUUUGUAAUGUUGCUAAGAGCAACUGAGCACAAAGUGGCAGCAGUGUCGUUUAAGAAAGAGUUUUACAGCCCAGAUUGCAUGAGCUUGUGGUUCAGGGUGUGUCUGUACAUUUUAUACGUUGACACACACACACACACACAUUCAUUCAUUUCUGUCUGCACAGCAGGAUCAUAAUGAUGGCUUCCAUUGUCUGUGUUUGUGCAGGUUUAGGAAGUAAAAUGUAUGCUUUCUUCAUGUUUUGUCUUUGGUCUAACAACCAUUUUCUUACAGACAGUAGGCCGGAUCGCAUGGUGUCUGAGGCCCUUAACAGUCUGACGCAGUUAUAAACUGGAACACCAACUAUGUGAAGGUGGUUCCAAGAAUCGUCUGGCAAUGCACCAAGAACAUUCCCAUGCUAUUCACAAAGUCACAGCACAACAAGGCAAUAAAAGCCCAAUUAAAAAGUAAUUAUUGUGCAUUCAUUUUUAACCAGGUCCUCCAGUGAACAAAGUGGUCCAGUAUGUGUUUCAAAGGCAAACAAAUCCAUGCUAAAUUGUUAAAGUAGUCUUUUAUGCUGGACAGUGAUCCCUGACCACCUCUUGUUAUUGUAGAGGAAACUCUGGAAAGCGAGAAGAAGAAAAAAAAAAACUUUUCAUGAAGACUUCCUCUCUCUUUGGCACUCUGUUUGAUUUAUACCACAAACAUCAGCACUCUGCCUAUAUCUUACCUCAGCUCACUAUCAACAGCACCCUAUUUUUAGUUAGUCCGGACUAUGUUUUGUCUUCUUUCCAGCCUCCUGUCUGACAGCCUGACUCUUACUGAAGCUUUAACUCUCCAUUCUGGCUUUGCUUCUCAUGGCCUUUAUUUGUCAGAGCCAUGAAUCUAUUACAUUCCCCCUGACAUUUUUGGCCUUAUUGCCCUCUGCAACUGUGUUUCAAACACGGAUGCUCCAACAGCUCAGACUUUUCUUCAACAAGCACAAAAAAAAUAAAAAAAAUAAAGCAUAAUAAAAAGAGAAACAGACCAGAGUGUGCCUGCACUUUGUUAUAGGCGUCGACUCAAAAGCCAGGUGUCAUUAAAGACUCCAUUUUAGGCUUUAAUGCCUCCGCCCAGAGUGUGACUAAAUCUGCUUUUUAUUGGGUGAAGGUGCCUUUUAUUCUCAGCCAAUACCCAAUGCACAAAAUGAAACUAGCUGUGUGCCAUGCAGGACCAGGAAAAGAGCAUAUUUUUUUUCUUCUAUAUCCUGGGGGAUAGAGACAUUUCACAGUCUGUCGAAAAAAAAGCCCAUCAAACAUCUGCACUUUACAUCACUAGAUGAAUUUAAGGGGGUGAGAGUUAAAAAAUGAGGCUAUGUGAGCAACUGAAAUGAAACGGAUGCAGUUAUGUCAAUUCAAAAGGAGCAGAAUUUAUGCACAGUCGCACAUGUUGUGAGGUUAAAAUACCUCAGGUAUUAUUUUACAUGUUUUUCUUAUUACUAUUUAAAUCAAUAAUGGGAUUGUAUGCAUUUAGGGAAUUUCUGCCAUUUCAUGGGUCUACUGAUAUACAAAAUUAUGUAUAUUUCAUACAAAAUAUACAUAAUUUUGUAUGAAAUUUAAUAUUUUCUCAAAAGAAUAUAAAUAUAUAAUUCUUCAAGAACAUUUUUUUUAAGAAAAUGUUUACAUAAGAUAAUUAGGAUCAAUAUGAUCAAUAUGAUAAUUUGGGCCACAAUUGUUAUCCUAUAAUAAUAUUGCUUUUUUUGGUCAGUAAUCGUUAUUUACCUAUAUUAUACAUGUUUACUUACAUGGAAACAACCUGGAUUUUGAUACAUUCACCAGUGUUACUUAACUCAGAUAAUAAUGCAAAGGAAAACUAAAAAAGAAAAAAGAAAAAAAAAAUUACUAACUGAAUCUAUUUUAUAGUUGUAUUUCUGUUAUUUGGUGUAUUAUUAUCGCUUAUAUCACAAAGAAAUGAGUAAUAGACAAUAUAAAUCCAAUUUGAUUUAGUAAUUCAUAAGUAUUUGGACCCUUUUAUGCAUCCACCUACUAAUCAUUAUAGUUUUUUUAUUUAGACUUUUGUGAAACACACCUUUCAUCUUUGCUUUAUGAGUAAUAAAUUGUCUUUGUGGUUUGCUUUUCAUAAGAAAGCACAGAUCAAGAUACUUAAUUAGGAAACUUUUAUGGCUUAUGAUGAUGUUUUGCCUCUAAUGUGGGCAGUGCAGGGAUGGUUAAUAACAGUUCUGGGAACAGCAUUUCUCCUUCCAGAUCGUGUAUUGUGCCGUGUCUUUGCAGGAUUUCAGAUUCCGUCGUUCUUGCACAAGUAUGUAUUCGUAACAUUGGAAAAGGGAUUUGAUUUUUUCUUUUUUCUUUUUUUUUUUUUAAUGUUAUAGGCGGCGCAAUGAUUUUGUUCUGAUCUCUGGGCUUGUUUCAGCACGCAAUCCAUUUGGUUUGUUAGCCCGUGUGUCAGAAAAUACAUUUUGCAUUAAAUGGUAAGGAUUUGGAAAGUGAACUCCAGACUGUUUUGAGUAGUUCCAUAUUAAUAUGAUCUGCAUGGGAAGGCACUUAAGAGAUGGUGUUUCAUUCUGAGAUGUUAAUACAGAAACUAAUCUCAAAGAAUGAAACACCUUCUCUUAA